rnacentral:rRNA from 1 species
UGGGGAAUUUUGGACAAUGGGCGCAAGCCUGAUCCAGCCAUGCCGCGUGUCUGAAGAAGGCCUUCGGGUUGUAAAGGACUUUUGUCAGGGAAGAAAAGGAUAGGGUUAAUACCCCUGUUUGAUGACGGUACCUGAAGAAUAAGCACCGGCUAACUACGUGCCAGCAGCCGCGGUAAUACGUAGGGUGCGAGCGUUAAUCGGAAUUACUGGGCGUAAAGCGAGCGCAGACGGUUACUUAAGCAGGAUGUGAAAUCCCCGGGCUCAACCUGGGAACUGCGUUCUGAACUGGGUGACUAGAGUGUGUCAGAGGGAGGUAGAAUUCCACGUGUAGCAGUGAAAUGCGUAGAGAUGUGGAGGAAUACCGAUGGCGAAGGCAGCCUCCUGGGAUAACACUGACGUUCAUGCUCGAAAGCGUGGGUAGCAAACAGG